AAGACUAAGCCAUGCAUGCCUAAGAAUAAGAGGAAGCAAUUCUCUCUGAAUCUGCGAACGGCUCCGCAAACCAGUUGUAAACUAUAGCAAGCAAGCCCGGGAUCGGCCUUCACGGGCUGGUUCCGGGUGAUAUGGAUAACCCUGGUAAUUCUGAGGCUAAUACAUGACCGUAAAACCUAGCUGACCGGCUUCGGCUGGGAUGCUGGGGGACGUGUGAUUUGGGCUUGGUAACACCGGGAAGGGGCGCACGUCUAGACCACGCUAUAAAGGUCGGUUUCCCCUUCGGGGGGGGCUGUCCCAGUGGCUCUUGCUGUGUGCUUCUGACCUAUCAACUAGACGGCAGCGUAAGGGACAUGCUAUGGUGACAACGGGUACAGAGGAUUAGGGUUCGAUCCUGGAGAGUGGGCCUGAGAGAUUGCUCAUACUUCUAAGGAAGGCAGCAGGCGCGCAACGUUCCCCUUGGGCAAUGCCCGAGGGCGUUAGGGGACAUAUGAAUGCCUGCCCAUUGGGUGGGCAAUUCAAAUGGGUCUGUUGUAAACAGGCUCUCGAGUAACAAU
rnacentral:rRNA from 1 species